GCUCAGGCUUAGAAACAGCUGCCUGCCGAGUUUGAUGAACUGUUUGCCUCCAGGCUUCAGACUGAGAGAUGUCUAUUAAUAAUAUAAUACUAUUAUAAUAACAUUUGAAUACUAAGGGGGGGUUAAUGUCAUAAAUCUUGUGUAGGCUACUGAUAAGUCAGUUUGGUGUCAAUUGAUUGGAGAACAAAUCCAAGAAGGUUGAGAUAAAAAAAGGAUUAUAUAUUACUCCCAACAAUGCCUGUGACUAGUGCCUAGGGGGAGGGAUGGUUCUCUUAAUGCUUGGUCAAGACUAGAUUGUGCUCAUCCAUGCAACAGGAGAGACUGAGCCAUCUGACACUAAUUUCCAUUCAGGAACUGCACUUCAAAGAGUUCAUCAGGAAUCUUUCUGCAAAGAAAACAGGCGUAGCCACUUCUAAGGGUUUGGUAGUUGAUGUUCUGACUCAAGAGCUGGACUUGAGGACAAAGCGGGUUAAAAUUAGCAAAAGAGCAGACAAUCAAUCAGUGAAGGCAAACUAAUCCAAAAAAACGAGCAAGCAUACAGAAUGUAUCACUAUAUGACAUACCGCCGGUGAGAUUCUGCCGGGGAAUACUUGG